rnacentral:tRNA from 1 species
GGAUGGGUGGCAGAGUGGUCGAUUGCGCACGCUUGGAAAGCGUGUGUACCUUUAUCGGUACCGAGAGUUCGAAUCUCUCCCCAUCCG